CCGGCACGGGUGAGUAACACGUAUCCAACCUGCCGUCUACUCUUGGACAGCCUUCUGAAAGGAAGAUUAAUACAAGAUGGCAUCAUGAGUCCGCAUGUUCACAUGAUUAAAGGUAUUCCGGUAGACGAUGGGGAUGCGUCCCAUUAGAUAGUAGGCGGGGUAACGGCCCACCUAGUCUUCGAUGGAUAGGGGUUCUGAGAGGAAGGUCCCCCACAUUGGAACUGAGACACGGUCCAA
rnacentral:rRNA from 1 species